rnacentral:rRNA from 1 species
CGGUUGAUCCUGCCGGACCCCACUGCUAUCGGGAUAGGACUAAGACAUGCUAGUCGUGUGCUUCAGCCAAAACGAAGCACGGCAUACAGCUCAGUAACACGUGGCUAAUCUGCCCUUGGGACGAGAACAACCCCGGGAAACUGGGGCUAACUCUCGAUAGGCGAAGAACUCCGGAAUGAGUCUUCACCUAAAUAGGUUCACGYUAUGCUCGUGGAUCUGCCCAAGGAUGAGGCCGCGACCGAUCAGGUUGUUGGUGAGGUAAUGGCUCACCAAGCCUUUYACCGGUGCGGGCCGUGAGAGCGGGAGCCCGGAGAUGGGCACUGAGACAAGGGCCCAGGCCCUACGGGGCGCAGCAGUCGCGAAAACUUUGCAAUAAGCGAAAGCUUGACAGGGCUAUCCCGAGUSCCAUCCGCUGAGGAAGGCUUUUACCCAGUCUAGAACGCUGGGGGAAUAAGGAGAGGGCAAGUCUGGUGUCAGCCGCCGCGGUAAUACCAGCUCUUCGAGUGGUGUGGAUGUUUAUUGGGCCUAAAGCAUCCGUAGCUGGCUWAGUUAGUCCCUUGUUAAAUCCACCGAAUUAAUCGUUGGAUUGCGGGGGAUACUGCUUGGCUAGGGGACGAGAGAGGCAGACGGUAUUUUCGGGGUAGGGGUGAAAUCCUAUAAUCCCGGGAAGACCACCAGUGGCGAAGGCUGUYUGYUAGAACGCGCCCGACGGUGAGGGAUGAAAGCUGGGGGAGCGAACCGGAUUAGAUACCCGSGUAGUCCCAGCUGUAAACGMUGCAGGCUAGGUGUUUGGACGGCCACGUGCCGUUCUAGUGCCGCAGGGAAGCUGUUAAGCMUGCCGCCUGGGGAGUACGAUCGCAAGAUUGAAACUUAAAGGAAUUGGCGGGG